CAGCCGCCACGGUAAUACAGAGGGUGCGAGCGUUAAUCGGAUUUACUGGGCGUAAAGCGUGCGUAGGCGGCUUCUUAAGUCGGAUGUGAAAUCCCUGAGCUUAACUUAGGAAUUGCAUUCGAUACUGGGAAGCUAGAGUAUGGGAGAGGAUGGUAGAAUUCCAGGUGUAGCGGUGAAAUGCGUAGAGAUCUGGAGGAAUACCGAUGGCGAAGGCAGCCAUCUGGCCUAAUACUGACGCUGAGGUACGAAAGCAUGGGGAGCAAACAGGAUUAGAUACCCCAGUAGUCCCUGUCUCUUAUAU
rnacentral:rRNA from 1 species